AAAUAGGUAAGCUAAAUAAAGCUAUUGGGCUCAUAACCCAACAAUGGACUAAUUUCCUCUAUUUA
rnacentral:tRNA from 1 species